CCUACGGGUGGCAGCAGUGGGGAAUAUUGCACAAUGGGGGGAACCCUGAUGCAGCGACGCCGCGUGGGUGAAGGAGUACUUCGGUACGUAAAGCCCUAUCAGUAGGAAAGAAAAUGACGGUACCUGACUAAGAAGCCCCGGCUAACUACGUGACAGCAGCCGCGGUAACACGUAGGGGGCAAGCGUUAUCCGGAUUUACUGGGUGUAAAGGGAGCGUAGGCGGUUUAGCAAUUCAGGAGUGAAAGGCCCGGGCUCAACUCCGGCACUGCUUUUGAAACUGUUGAACUGGAGUGCGGGAGAGGUAAGUGGAAUUCGUAGUGUAGCGGUGAAAUGCGUAGAUAUUAGGAAGAACACCGGUUGCGAAGGCAGCUUACUGGACUGUAAAUGACGCUGAGGCUCGAAAGCGUGGGGAGCGAACAGGAUUAGAUACCCUAGUAGUC
rnacentral:rRNA from 1 species